UCUCGGCUCCCGCAUCGAUGAAGAACGUAGCGAAAUGCGAUACUUGGUGUGAAUUGCAGAAUCCCGUGAACCAUCGAGUCUUUGAACGCAAGUUGCGCCCGAAGCCAUUCGGCCGAGGGCACGUCUGCCUGGGCGUCACGCAU
rnacentral:rRNA from 1 species